GGCUCCGUAGCUUAGCUGUAUAGAGCGUCAGAUUCCGGUUCUGAAGGUCGAGGGUUAGAAUCCUCCGGGGUCACGA
rnacentral:tRNA from 1 species